CCUACGGGGGGCAGCAGUGGGGAAUAUUGCACAAUGGGGGGAACCCUGAUGCAGCGACGCCGCGUGAGUGAAGAAGUAUUUCGGUACGUGAAGCUCUAUCAGCAGGGAAGAUAAUGACGGUACCUGACUAAGAAGCCCCGGCUAACUACGUGCCAGCAGCCGCGGUAAUACGUAGGGGGCAAGCGUUAUCCGGAUUUACUGGGUGUAAAGGGAGCGUAGACGGCAGCGCAAGUCUGGAGUGAAAUGCCGGGGCCCAACCCCGGAACUGCUCUGGAAACUGUGAAGCUGGAGUGCAGGAGAGGCAA
rnacentral:rRNA from 1 species